rnacentral:misc_RNA from 1 species
UUUCCGUAGGUGAACCUGCGGAAGGAUCAUUAUCGAGUUUUGAAAGGGGUUGUAGCUGGCCUUCCGAGGCAUGUGCACGCCCUGCUCAUCCACACUCAACACCUGUGCACCUUUUGUGGGCGGAAUGGGAGAAAUCCCGCUUUGCCUGCGUCUCUCACACACACAUAAAGUAUCAGAAUGUAACCACGCGUUUAUACGCAUCUUAAUACAACUUUCAACAACGGAUCUCUUGGCUCUCGCAUCGAUGAAGAACGCAGC